rnacentral:lncRNA from 1 species
CUUGAACUCCUUCCCCCAGAGGGGUUGCUGUCUUGGCAGGAAGCUUCCCCAUUAAACACAAAAGAAAGAAAAAACUAAAGACCUACAAACAAACUGGCAUCACCCACAGCCCGGCAUCACGCACAGCCCGGCAUCACGCACAGCCCGGCAUCACACACAAACCCGGCAUCACACACAAACCCGGCAUCACACACAGCCCCGGCAUCACACACAGCCCCGGCAUCACCCGCAGCCCGGCAUCACACACAAACCCGGCAUCACGCACAGCCCGGCAUCACCCGCAGCCCGGCAUCACACACAAACCCGACAUCACACACAAACCUGGCAUCACCCGCAGCCCGGCAUCACCCACAAACUCGGCAUCACCCACAAACCCGGCAUCACGCACAGCCCGGCAUCACGCACAGCCCGGCAUCACGCACAGCCCGGCAUCACGCACAGCCCAGCAUCACGCACAGCCCCUCCAGGCUGCCACUGAACUGCAGCCGCCGCCUGAACGUCCUGUAUUGUCUCCUAAGGAGCUGCCAUCAGGGGACUCCAUCAAGGAGCCAGCCAUCUACAUAUUUUCCAACUAAGGGGCCAAAUGGCCCUCCCUCAAAUCCAGUGACACUGGCCCGGCUGGUGGCCUCUCAUCUUGCUGAAAAGACUGUCACCGUUUCCCCUAAUCCUGAUUUAAUGGGCGGCCUUGCGGGGGCUGUACUUGCCCCUCCCCGGCGUGGGUCCCACACUUUCUUAUCGUCCACCUUCAUGUGGUGGAAAUCCUGUUCCGGAGACCCAUGGCUUCUCUCAUAAGAAGCGCUCUCCAGGCCGGGCGCGGUGGCUCAUGCCUGUAAUACCAGCACUUUGGAAGGCCGAGGUGGGCGGAUCACCUGAGGUUGGGAGUUCGAGACCAGCCUGACCAACAUGGUGAAACCCUGUCUCUACUAAAAAUACAAAAAAUUAGCCAGGCGUGGUGGCGGGCACCUAUAAUCCCAGCUACUCGGGAGGCUGAGGCGGGAGAAUAGCUUGAACCCAGGAGGCGGAGGUUGCAGUGAGCUGAGAUCAUGCCAGUGCCCUCCAGCCUGGGCAACGAGAGCAAAACUCCAUUUCAAAAAUAAAAAUAAUAAUAAAAUAAAAUAAAGAAGCAGUCUCUCAAGGGUUAUCAGUAGCUUCUGAACUGAUUUGGGGAGAAAUGGAGCAAUCAAGUUAUCUGUUCAGCUGACUGAUUCUGAAACCUGAAACUUCAGUUAUGAGUGAUUUGUUCCCAGGGCCCCUGUGGGAAGGCCGCCGCGCCCUUGGUCGGGAAAGCAAAGCUCACCACCACCAGGCCACAGGCUGUUCCGUUAGGGAAGGCAGUGCCAAAGUUUGCCCUGGACUGCCUUGUUCCAGAUAGGGCCAACAGCAGCUCACUGGCCCCUCUGGGCCUCAGUUUCCCCAUCUGCUAAGUGAAGGGGCUGGAGCAGGUGAGGUAUUUCAGGGCCCUUGUCCCUCGCACCUCUGAUAUUCAGUGGCUCAAGCAUAAGGCAGGACUAGAGACAGUGGCCCAGACCCUGCUGGUGGCCUCCCCCAUACGGUUCUUCCUAGCAGUCAAAGCCUGAGUCAAAGGCUGCUGGUCAAGGCAGAGUUUACUGAACUGUUAGUUUCCUCCUGCACACACCGGGCAUGACACCUUCAAGUCUGUCCAGCAGUGGGUCCAGAAAGUACCCUGUGUGCCUUGGACGCAGAGGCUACAGUUCUCACUGUGUGGCAUGGGAGCCUUCACAGUGCCCUCGGGAGCUGCGCCUGGUCUUUGUCUGCAAAGGUGACUGGGAGGAUAGAAAAGCAGCGGGCUGGCAUUGUUUCGGGGGUGGGGUGGUGGGCAGUGUGCCUUGGCAGUCC